AUUCCUGGGAGCCUGCGCUCCCGGUUCAUGGAAUUGUGCUCCCGGCCCCGGGCGAAAACAGCAGCAACAACAACAAAAAGCAGGCGAGCCUUUGGCUGGGUUUUGGGAGGCUCCAGAAAUGAGUUCCAGAAGAAAGUGUUCCGGGCAGGAGUUCAGGGCAUGGACAGCGGGAGGAGACAGCGGGAAAAGCUGGAUAAUCCUGGCCUUGCGUCACCUCCCGCGGCCCCACGUGCACAGCCAAGCAAGGAGGGCUUGAAGGCGCCUUUCCCCUGCUGGGGAAGGGAUGGAUCAGGGAACACCAGCAAGGAGAAGGGAUUUGGAUCCCUCAGGAACACCGGAGGACUGGCAGGGAGCUGAUUUUCCAGCACACUGGGAGGGCGUGGGGAGGUGUUUGCCAGGCUUGGAUGGAGGUGGAGGAUGGAGAGAUCCAAACCUGGGAGAGACUCAUCCGUGCACAGCACAAACAUCUGGAGCCAAUCACCCUUCCAGCUGUGCCUGGCUUCAUCCCAGAGGAUGCUAUGCCCACAGAGAGGCAGGAAGAAACUGGUGGAGUUGGGAUGGUGAGGGCCAUGAACUGG